CUCACUCUCAAAAUCUACGUACCAACAUCUGUAUGAAUUGCAGUUUUCCCUAUCACUUUUAUCUUCAAAAUCUCCCUUUAAAUAUUGUUUAAAAAAUUGACCAUUUACUUAGGUGCCUACAUGAUUUUGCUGAAAUUUUGUGGAGCAUUUGCUAGCAUCCUGAGGAAUGAGUCAUGCAUUGAUGGUGCCACUAUUGUAUUAAGCUUUUGUUUCUACCAAAAAAGUUGUCCUGAAGCACAACCUAUAAUCUUUUGAAGGGUCAAAAAGGCGGUUUCUGAUGACCCGAGAAUGGCUGCUUUUUUGCUGCAACUCCAUUUUCACGAUUGCUUUGUUAAUGCGAGUUGUCAAUCUAUCUUAAUUUAUUUGCUGAAUGUGUUUGGUAUUCAAUACUCAACAUGACUGAGUAAAUAGUAUUGUUGCGUUCAAUGCUCUCUACUUCACCUUGCCAAAUACAUAACAAGUAUGAACUCAUUUUCGCUCAUUAUUUCUUGUUAUGAUUAAUGCGCAAUACAUAUUUCUAGGGAUGUGAUGCUUCAGUUUUACUGGAUGAGACCAAAAUAUGCCGGAGAAAGAACUGCAGCACCAAACUAGAACUCACUAAGGGGAUUUGAAGUUAUUGAUGCAAUAAAAGCUGAUCUUGAAUAUGUUUGUCCUCAGAUUGUCUGUCUUGUGCUGGUAUUCUUGCUGUUGCCGCAAGAGAUUCUAUUGUUUUGGUACAUAUUCUCCUAUUUAUUGUGUUGGAUGCUUUAAGUACCAGGUUAAAAUAGUUACUAUUAUAUG
rnacentral:lncRNA from 1 species